GCACGAAGGAAGACGAAACACGAAGAGACAACGACGAUGACGUGUUCUUCGCGGGAUAAUAGUACCGUAUCGAUAUAACGAAUGACGGUGGCACACAACCAAUAAUGAUUCUCCAAACUCCGACGUUAUCAAAGAUCAACGCUGUCGCACGUCAUACAGAGAAAAAGAAGAAGAAGAAGUUACCGGCAAGGCAGCACGGCGUAUACUGACGAAUUCUUCUGACCGCCGGCCGGAACUGACCGAGCGAAGCCGAAGUUACGAAGAGACGAGAGGCGAAUUCGUGGCGCCUACCUCCUCUCUCUUUCAAUACCAGUGCGAGAGAGAUGGAUAAAGUUCGUAACUUGUCGAGAGAGAGAGAGAGAGAGAGAGAGAGAGGGAGAGAGAGAGAGAGAGAGAGAGACAUAGAGGAUUCGAUUUGAGAGGGGGAGGAGAGAGAGAGAGAGAGAGAUACAGUUAGGGAGGGGGGAGAAGAAACGUUUGGAACGUACCAUGGUGGGUGGUUGCUCGGUGCCUUGCUGCUUCGUCGAGUGGGAGAAGAAAGAAGGUGGGAGGUUACGGGUGGGUGUGUGCGCGCGCGCGCGCCCAACACUCAGCGAGAGAGAGAGGGAAGGAGUAGGUUGGCAGGCCGGCUACUUGGUGGUGGAAAGACGAAAUCACCUAGUUAGAGAGAGAGCGAGAGAGAGAGAGAGAGAGAGAGGGAGAGAGAGAGAGAGAGAGAGAAAGAGAGAGAUUACAUCCUUGACGAUAUCACGAGGUAAUAAGUACCACUGAACGUUUUGUAUAAAGAUUUGUCUCGUUGACCGAAUCAUCUCUCUUUCUCUCUCUCUCUCUCUCUCUCUCUCUCUCUCUCUCUCUAUUUAUCUAUCUAUCUAUCUAUCUAUCUAUCUAUCUAUCUAUCUAUUUAUCCAUUUAUCUAUCUAUCUAUCUCUAUCUCUCUCUUUUCGUGUAUAAUUUGAAUUAUUAAAAAAUAGGAUAGCCCUGUCCUAUCGUUCGAUAAUUAAAAAAGCCCGCGUUUCGCGAGCGCCAUCUACUACCACGUACGACGACCUUUUAUUUUUUGAAAUUCCUACGCACGUAUGUAUCUACGUUACCACCCGUCCGGAUGUUAAAAGAUAUGCUAAGAGAAUUCGCAAUGAAUAUUUUUCUUUUUUUUCUUCCUCUCUUUUCUUAAAUUGUCUUACUUUUGUAAUAUAUAAUAAGGUUUGAAAGUUGAAACGAUUUUCUUCGAAUAUAUUAUCGUUUAUAAUCGUCGAUCAUUUCGAUCGAUUGAUCGCGAAUAAAAAAGAGAAAGGUAAAAUGUAAGAGACAGAGAUAGAAAUGGAGAUAAAGAGAGAGAGAGAGAGAGAGAGAGAGAGAGAGAGAGAGAGAGAGAGAGAGAGAGAGAGAGAGAGAAAGAGAGAGGUUAACGAGUGAAUAAAGUUUAUCGUGUGAAAAUGCACAUGGGGAUGGUACGAAUAAAGACUAGAAAAGAUAUGCCGUUCGGUAAUCCAGCCCCAUUAGAUCCUCUCGAAAGAGGAAAUACUAUUAUUUACGUUGCCCUUAAUUCUAAAGCCCAUUUUAUACCAACCAUUACGACGUAAAAAAGAAUUGUUACCAAAUUCGUCAGGGUAACGGAGAACAAUGAACUUUCACUUUCAAACCCUGGCUAUUUAUCAAUUUUGCAUAGAUAUAAUUUAAGAUAAAAUUAUAAUAAAAUCGUAAUAAAAUUUUAUUAACUAA